AACGAACGCUGGCGGCAUGCCUAACACAUGCAAGUCGAACGAAACCUUCGGGCCUAGUGGCGCACGGGUGCGUAACGCGUGGGAAGCUGCCCCUAGGUUCGGAAUAACUGUUCGAAAGGGCUGCUAAUACCGGAUAAAGUCUUCGGACCAAAGAUUUAUCGGCAAUGGAUGAGCCCGCGUAGGAUUAGGUAGUUGGUGGGGUAAAUGCCUACCAAGGCGACGAUCCAUAGCUGGUCUGAGAGGAUGAUCAGCCACACUGGGACUGAGACACGGCCCAGACUCCUACGGGAGGAAGCAGUGGGGAAUAUUGGACAAUGGACGAAAGUCUGAUCCAGCAAUGCCGCGUGAGUGAUGAAGGCCUUAGGGUUGUAAAGCUCUUUUAACAGGGAUGAUAAUGACAGUACCUGGAGAAUAAGCUCCGGCUAACUCCGUG
rnacentral:rRNA from 1 species